UGGGGAAUCGUUCCGCAAUGGACGAAAGUCUGACGGAGCAACGCCGCGUGAGUGAAGAAGGUUUUCGGAUCGUAAAACUCUGUCUUUUGGGGCGAACGUGAGUAUGGUGAACAAUCAUAGUCAGUGACGGUACCAAAGGAGGAAGCCACGGCUAACUACGUGCCAGCAGCCGCGGUAAUACGUAGGUGGCAAGCGUUGUCCGGAAUUAUUGGGCGUAAAGAGCGCGUAGGCGGGAUAGUCAGUCUGUUGUAAAGUGCGGGGCUCAACCCCGUGAUCGCAAUGGAAACAGCUAUUCUUGAGUGCAGGAGAGGAAAGUGGAAUUCCCAGUGUAGCGGUGAAAUGCGUAGAUAUUGGGAGGAACACCAGUGGCGAAGGCGACUUUCUGGACUGUGUCUGACGCUGAGGCGCGAAAGCCAGGGGAGCGAACGGGAUUAGAUACCCCGGUAGUCCUGGCCGUAAACGAUGGGUACUAGGUGUGGGAGGUAUCGACCCCUUCCGUGCCGGAGUUAACGCAAUAAGUACCCCGCCUGGGGAGUACGGUCGCAAGACUGAAACUCAAAUGAAUUGAC
rnacentral:rRNA from 1 species